rnacentral:rRNA from 1 species
GACAGAGGGGGCAAGCGUUGCUCGGAAUUACUGGGCGUAAAGGGCGCGUAGGCGGGAUGGCAAGUCGGUCGUGAAAUCCCUCGGCUCAACCGAGGAACGUCGAUCGAUACUGCUGUUCUUGAGGAUUGCAGAGGAGACUGGAAUUCCCGGUGUAGCAGUGAAAUGCGUAGAGAUCGGGAGGAACACCAGUGGCGAAGGCGGCCUUCUGGACCAAUACUGACGCUCAUGCACGAAAGCGUGGGGAGCAAACAGG